GCCUAACACAUGCAAGUCGAGCGAUCUCUUCGGAGAGAGCGGCGGACGGGUGAGUAACGCGUGGGUAACCUGCCCUGUACACACGGAUAACAUACCGAAAGGUAUACUAAUACGGGAUAACAUACGAAAGUCGCAUGGCUUUUGUAUCAAAGCUCCGGCGGUACAGGAUGGACCCGCGUCUGAUUAGCUAGUUGGUAAGGUAAUGGCUUACCAAGGCAACGAUCAGUAGCCGACCUGAGAGGGUGAUCGGCCACACUGGAACUGAGACACGGUCCAGACUCCUACGGGAGGCAGCAGUGGGGAAUAUUGCACAAUGGGCGAAAGCCUGAUGCAGCAACGCCGCGUGAGCCGAUGAAGGCCUUYGGGUCGUAAAGCUCUGUCCUCAAGGGAAGAUAAUGACGGUACUUGAGGAGGAAGCCCCGGCUAACUACGUGCCAGCAGCCGCGGUAAUACGUAGGGGGCUAGCGUUAUCCGGAAUUACUGGGCGUAAAGGGUGCGUAGGUGGUUUUUUAAGUCAGAAGUGAAAGGCUACGGCUCAACCGUAGUAAGCUUUUGAAACUAGAGAACUUGAGUGCAGGAGAGGAGAGUAGAAUUCCUAGUGUAGCGGUGAAAUGCGUAGAUAUUAGGAGGAAUACCAGUAGCGAAGGCGGCUUCUCUGGACUGUAACUGACACUGAGGCACGAAAGCGUGGGGAGCAAACAGGAUUAGAUACCCCUGGUAGUCCACGCCGUAAACGAUGAGUACUAGGUGUCGGGGGUUACCCCCCUCGGUGCCGCAGCUAACGCAUUAAGUACUCCGCCUGGGAAGUACGCUCGCAAGAGUGAAACUCAAAGGAAUUGACGGGGACCCGCACAAGUAGCGGAGCAUGUGGUUUAAUUCGAAGCAACGCGAAGAACCUUACCUAAGCUUGACAUCCCACUGACCUCUCCCUAAUCGGAGAUUUCCCUUCGGGGACAGUGGUGACAGGUGGUGCAUGGUUGUCGUCAGCUCGUGUCGUGAGAUGUUGGGUUAAGUCCCGCAACGAGCGCAACCCUUGCCUUUAGUUGCCAGCAUUAAGUUGGGCACUCUAGAGGGACUGCCGAGGAUAACUCGGAGGAAGGUGGGGAUGACGUCAAAUCAUCAUGCCCCUUAUGCUUAGGGCUACACACGUGCUACAAUGGGUGGUACAGAGGGUUGCCAAGCCGCGAGGUGGAGCUAAUCCCUUAAAGCCAUUCUCAGUUCGGAUUGUAGGCUGAAACUCGCCUACAUGAAGCUGGAGUUACUAGUAAUCGCAGAUCAGAAUGCUGCGGUGAAUGCGUUCCCGGGUCUUGUACACACAGCCCGUCACACCAUGGAAGUUGGGGGCGCCCGAAGCCGGUUAGCUAACCUUUUAGGAAGC
rnacentral:rRNA from 1 species